UCUUGUUUAGCGAAUGCAAGGUCAUGGUUGAGAGGAGAGGUCCUAAACUGCACUAAACACCUGAAGAACUCAAAUCUACAUUCAGUUGCAGCUCUUCUCCAUGCAAAGCUGAGUGUAGCAGCGCUCCGAGCUUAUAGCUACAGCUGAAGCAGCUGCAGAAAGCCUGUCAGAGCCGCAUCCAGGGAGUGAGAACUGGGACCUGCUGUUGGAGGAAUUUGACUUCAGGACACAAGAGGUCACAGGCUGCAAAUUGAAAAUAUAGUCAGCUCACAACAUAGGACGAUAAUACAGCUAAACAUUGAACGCUAUAUUCAAAGGAACUCCUGGAAAACCUGUUAGCAACCAGUUUUAUGGCACUCGUCGUGUGUUAGAAUAUGAGAUCAGAUGCAGGCACCCGUACCGCUCUGCAACAGUGUUUCUUUGGAGAUGACUGAGACGUAGCUACAGGAGCUGCAGCGGUUAAGCUGGGCCCCGGAGGAAUCCCACAUAGACACCGUUCACCUCUGCCAGGAGUGCACACCGCUGGUCAGCAACCUCAGUCGCUGGAUCAAAGAGCCGAAGUAUGUGGAGCUACCUCAACAUGGACACGCUUAAAUGCGCACACACCGUGUCCAGAAGUUUUCCAUCGACAUUCCGAAGUUCCCAGAAUUCUCACGCCCCUCUUGUGUGUCACAUGGAUACUAGGGCUAGGGGAUACAGUUCAAAAUUCUCAAUAUUUUUCAGGCUUUUGACAUUAUUUAAAUGAUUUCUUGAAAUGUAUUGGCUCU